UAGAAUUUUAUUUACAAGUUUUUACAAAAUUGUUAUAAAUGAUAUAAAUCAUCAUCUGAAGUAAUUUACAAUAGUAAUUAUAAUAAUUAUAAUUUUCCGGAUAAUUCACGAUUAUUAUAAAGAAAUUCUUAAGUUCAGGGAAUUAAAAAAAAUAUUAUUAAUAAAAAAAUAGGCAAAAAUUGAACAAUUUUAAGACGUAAGGCACAGUAAUUAUCACAGGUGUGUAGCAGGUGUUGUGGCAGGUGUUGUGGCAGGUGUUGUGGUAGGUGUUGUGGCAGGUGUGUAGCACGUGUUGUAGCAGGUGUGUAGCACUUGUGGCAGGUGUUGUGGCAAGUGUGUGUUGUGGCAGGUGUGUAGCAGGUGUUGUGGUAGGUGUGUAGCACUUGUGGCAGGUGUUGUGGCAAGUGUGUGUUGUGGCAGGUGUGCAGCAGUUGUGGCAGGUGUGUAGCAGAUGUUGUGGCAGGUGUGUAGCAGGUGUAUAGCAGGUGUUGUGGCAGGUGUGUAGCACGUGUUGUAGCAGGUGUUGUGGCAGGUGUGUAGCACUUGUGGCAGGUGUUGUGGCAAGUGUGUGUUGUGGCAGGUGUGUAGCAGGUGUUGUGGUAGGUGUUGUGGCAGGUGUUGUGGUAGGUGUUGUGUCAGGUGUGUAGCACGUGUUGUAGCAGGUGUUGUGGCAGGUGUGUAGCACUUGUGGCAGGUGUUGUGGCAAGUGUGUGUUGUGGCAGGUGUGUAGCAGUGUUGUGGUAUGUGUGUAGCAGGCGUUGUGGUAGGUGUUGUGGUAGGUGUUUAGCAGGUGUUGUGGUAGUUGUGGUAGGUGUGUAGGUGUUGUAGCAGGUGUUACGGCAGGUGUUGUGGCAGAUGUUGUAGCAGGUGUUGUGGCAGGUGUGUAGCACUUGUGGCAGGUGUUGUGGCAAGUGUGUGUUGUGGCAGGUGUGCAGCAGUUGUGGCAGGUGUGUAGCAGGUGCUGUCGCAGGUGUUGUGGCAGGUGUGUAGCAGGUGUUGUGGCAGAUGUGUAGCAUUUGUUGUUGCAGGUGUGUAGCAGGUGUUGUGGCAGAUGUGUAGCACUUGUUGUUGCAGGUGUGUAGCAGGUGUUGUGGCAGAUGUGUAGCAGGUGUGUAGGUGUUGUGGCAAGUGUGUAGCAACUGUUGUGGCAGGUGUGUAACAGGUGUUGUGGCA